CUGGAAAGCUCCUAGCUGCUUGACCUUUACAACAAAAAAGACACUGGAAAGAACAGCAAGCAAAAUUAGAUCAGUGGCUUUCAGUGUUACUGUCUAGUUUGUUUCACUUUCCAAUUCACAAGAGUUGAGGAAUGUGUAAGCAAGAACCUAACCUUCCCGCUCCAGAAAAGAACAACUCUACGUUAAAACUUAAGGAGAUAAAAGGGAGAACAGGAGACAAUAAAUAGAAGAUGGUGAAUCCAUGAAUAAGUUAUGUAGGUCAUUACCAAGGAAAUGCCACUCGUGCUCUGUGCCUCUUUUACAGCUCUAACAGUAAUCCAAAUGCUGUGGAAUUCUCUGUGAAGCACACUGAAGGAACACCAGGUAUGAGCAGCGCCGCAUGUCUUCGUUCUCACGGGUGAGACUUCCCACUGUGCUGAUAAGGCAGUUCUGGCCUUGGCCUUUUGGGAGAAUUCUCUGAGCGAGGCAGUUCUGACAAAUUCUCCUGGCCAGUAACAUAGGAUCAGGCUGGGAAAAAGGCCCAUCAACCAGCCAGGCUCACCUGUGGCAGAUACCACUGUGCGUUGGGGUUGCUGGUAGCAGAUGGAGGCUCAACGUGCAAAUAACAGGGGCAGCAAGGGAAGUACGUGUGUAUUGCCAAAACGGGAUCAAGCCUCACUCCCCACAAAGCUGCAAGAUCCCCUUGCCUGCUGAGCAGGAAUGGGCCUAUACAUCCAGCCAAACAGGAUCAGAGGCUUGUUAAACUUCUAAAACUGACCUCAAACUUUAUUUUUUUUUUUUGUUUGAUUCUCUGCAAAUGUUACCAUUUUGCAUCAGAGUGUCUCAGGGCUUU